rnacentral:other from 1 species
UGCGGGCUGCGUGGUGCGUCGGGCCUUGUAUUCCCGGGGCCUUAUCGAUCCUCAAGGGAGCUGUCCCUGGCCGGACCCGUGGGUCCGGACAUAUGGCGCCCACCUACAUUGUAGGUUUCCCGGGAUCGAAAUGGUCUGACGGCCAAGGCGGCUCGCUC